ensembl:lncRNA
GUGGACAUCACUCCUGCUGACGCCUGGCCCCCAGUGUCAAGCCAGCGACAGUGUGCGGCACCAAACAUAGACUCAUUAACGCUCGCCAAAUGGUGAUCUAAUGCGGCAGAGUUUUUGUGGCACGACCGCGGCACCGGCUUUUUCUCGUCUUUUAAAGGGUAGCUCCCGUGAAUGCGUGUACGUGUUAAAAUGAGUAGGGAAUGGGGUGAUGAAUUAUGCAUUCAUCAUUUCCAGGAUGUUCGUCAGGGGAGACACGACAUGAGACAUUCACACCGCCCUGCUUUCGUGAGAGGACAGGGGGAACUUAAGAGAGCAUGAAGCACACAUGAUAAAUGAUGUACUGAACUAUCGUGGUCAACACACAUUCUGCUUUUUUUUUGUCACUCAUACUCACACUGCGUUUUUAUCUCUCUUUUUCUAAAGAGCAUGAUACGUCUUAAUGGGCAGUGUGGCAAACGGGCAUUUUUUAGAGGCAUAGAGAGAGAGAGAGAGAGAGAGAGAGAGAGCUAAUCCACUUUAUGCUGACCACUGGGAGCUGUCGGACCGGAGUGGGGGGUAAAGAAGUCAGGUCUGUGGCAGACAUGGAGUCGUAUCCACUGCGGGGAUACUGGCUUUAGUGCUUACUUGCUUACUGAACACGUUUUUUCUUCUCCCUGCCUUUUCCUUUUUUUCUCUUUUUUAUGUCUGAUGGUUCGCCCUCCCCCUGUUCUCUUUUCUCCAUCCCUGCAUCCCUCCUUCUCUCCCUUCUUUCUUCUUCUUCUCUUUUUCCGCCCCUGGCCUCUUGUGCACGUGCGAUGAAGAGACAAUCUCCACGGGGACUGUCGCAGGAUCUCGUCCCCAGCCGUCUCACUCUAGUCCUUCCAGGAAGUGCUGCUCUCACAAACUCAGACAGACACAGAGAGUGAGAUAGAGAUAGAGAGAGACGGAGGGAGACAGAAAGAGAGAGACAUUUAGGCUUCUGAGACAGAGAGAGAGAGAGAUGCCAUCAAAGGUUUUUGAAGGAGCAGAUCAACAACCAGCAGUGUCUUGGAAAGAUGUGUCUAUUUUUAGGAAGAUACUGCUAUGUACGUGUGGGAAGAAAGAAGGACACACUGGGGCUGUGUGUGUGUGUGUGUG